rnacentral:rRNA from 1 species
AGAUUGAACGCUGGCGGCAUGCUUUACACAUGCAAGUCGAACGGCAGCACGGGGGCAACCCUGGUGGCGAGUGGCGAACGGGUGAGUAAUGCAUCGGAACGUAUCCUUAAGUGGGGGAUAACGCAUCGAAAGAUGCGCUAAUACCGCAUAAUCUCUGAGGAGAAAAGCAGGGGAUCGCAAGACCUUGCGCUUUUGGAGCGGCCGAUGUCUGAUUAGCUAGUUGGUGAGG